CUGGGCAACAUUUUUUCAUUUGGAUUCCAUUUAAUUCAAACAAUAUAGGAAAAACAAAAAAGUCUAGCUAUAAUCUACAGAGUACAGAGCCACCCAACUUUUGCAGAAUUCAUANAUCAUCAUUCUCUCAUGAUCUUCUUAGGUAUUGCUUUUACUGGUGUAAGCUUUCGGACUGUUAUUCCCAGUUUUUCCUUCAUGUCUAUGGCCUUUGGAGUAGAAUUGCUNNNGUCAAAACAGUGAAGCAGGGAGGCUAGAACAAGGUGAAGUAUAAGGCGAGCCAUUGGGAUGCCAGCGCAAAUUCGUCUUCCAGAUCCGAAAGGGAUAAAC
rnacentral:misc_RNA from 1 species